GGCUCAGGAUGAACGCUAGCGGCAGGCUUAACACAUGCAAGUCGAGGGGCAUCGGGAGUAGCAAUACUGCCGGCGACCGGCGCAAGGGUGCGUAACGCGUGAGCAACAUGCCCGUAUCAGGGGGAUAAUCCAUGGAAACGUGGUCUAAUACCCCAUAGUAAUUAUGUAAGGCAUCUUAUAUAAUUUAAAGCUUUGGUGGAUACGGAUUGGCUCGCGUGACAUUAGCUGGAUGGUAAGGUAACGGCUUACCAUGGCUACGAUGUCUAGGGGUUCUGAGAGGAAGGUCCCCCCACACUGGAACUGAGACACGGUCCAGACUCCUACGGGAGGCAGCAGUGAGGAAUAUUGGACAAUGGAUGGAAAUCUGAUCCAGCCAUGCCGCGUGCAAGGAAGACGGCCCUAUGGGUUGUAAACUGCUUUUGUAUGGGAGCAAUAAGGGCUACGUGUAGUCCGAUGAGAGUACCAUACGAAUAAGCACCGGCUAACUCCGUGCCAGCCGCCGC
rnacentral:rRNA from 1 species